rnacentral:rRNA from 1 species
GAGUUUGAUCGUGGCUCAGAACGAACGCUGGCGGCAGGCUUAACACAUGCAAGUCGAGCGCCCCGCAAGGGGAGCGGCAGACGGGUGAGUAACACGUGGGAAUCUACCCAUCCCUGCGGAACAAACUCCGGGAAACGUGGAGCUAAUACCGCAUGCGCCCUACGGGGGAAAGGAUUUAUCGGGGAUGGAUGAGCCCGCGUUGGAUUAGCUAGUUGGUGGGGUAAAGGCCUACCAAGGCGACGAUCCAUAGCUGGUCUGAGAGGAUGAUCAGCCACAUUGGGAC